rnacentral:rRNA from 1 species
CGAAGCCGCGAGGCAGAGNGAACCCCAAAAAGACCGUCCCAGUUCGGAUCGCAGGCUGCAACCCGCCUGCGUGAAGUCGGAAUCGCUAGUAAUCGCGGAUCAGCAUGCCGCGGUGAAUACGUUCCCGGGCCUUGUACACACCGCCCGUCACACCAUGAGAGUUGGGGAUACCCGAAGCCUGUGAGCCAACUGUAAAGAGGCAGCAGUCGAAGGUAGAAUCAAUGAUUGGGGUGAAGUCGUAACAAGGUAAC